UACGUAGGGUGCAAGCGUUGUCCGGAAUUAUUGGGCGUAAAGAGCUCGUAGGCGGUCUGUUGCGUCGGGAGUGAAAACUCGGGGCUUAACCCCGAGCCUGCUUCUGAUACGGGCAGACUAGAGGUAUGCAGGGGAGAACGGAAUUCCUGGUGUAGCGGUGAAAUGCGCAGAUAUCAGGAGGAACACCGGUGGCGAAGGCGGUUCUCUGGGCAUUACCUGACGCUGAGGAGCGAAAGUGUGGGGAGCGAACAGG
rnacentral:rRNA from 1 species